rnacentral:rRNA from 1 species
GACGAACGCUGGCGGCGUGCUUAACACAUGCAAGUCGAACGGAAAGGCCCUGCUUUUGUGGGGUGCUCGAGUGGCGAACGGGUGAGUAACACGUGAGUAACCUGCCUUUGACUUUGGGAUAACUUCAGGAAACUGGGGCUAAUACCGGAUAGGAGCUCCUGCUGCAUGGUGGGGGUUGGAAAGUUUCGGCGGUUGGGGAUGGACUCGCGGCUUAUCAGCUUGUUGGUGGGGUAGUGGCUUACCAAGGCUUUGACGGGUAGCCGGCCUGAGAGGGUGACCGGCCACAUUGGGACUGAGAUACGGCCCAGACUCCUACGGGAGGCAGCAGCGGGGAAUAUUGCACAAUGGGCGGAAGCCUGAUGCAGCAACGCCGCGUGCGGGAUGACGGCCUUCGGGUUGUAAACCGCUUUCGCCUGUGACGAAGCGUGAGUGACGGUAAUGGGUAAAGAAGCACCGGCUAACUACGUG